GCCUGGCUGUUUAAACUUAACCCAUUUGUUUACAGGGCGCCACCAUUGACGAAAUUCGACAAGCAUUUCCAAUCCCGAUGGGUCCCCCAGGAGCGACUGGCUCACCAGGAAUGAAGGGUGAUAAAGGAGAACGAGGCCCGAGCGGAGAGAAGGUAGUGCUGACCGAUCCUAUGCAUCAAAAGCACAUGUAUAUGGAAAUUACAUUAUUUUCACUGCAUUUACUUGAUGUUUUCAAAGGGUGAUGCUGGAGCGCCUGGAAAAGUUAUUGAGAUGAAGGACAUUGAAUUAAUGUUUGAAGCCUAUGGAAUAAGGCUGCCUUUGCUGAAAGCUUUGAUUGAUAGGCUGCUGCAAGAUGGAGUAGAGGAGCUGCUUCAUGUGCUUGGCACGACCAAGAAAACAAAGGAAAGCACAGAUACUCACACCUCCAACGUCAUCACUGAGUACACAAGUUCUUUGAAAUUUGACAUCACCAGCCAGCCUUUGUCCGAGUUGGACACCCUUGAUGACCCAGAUUUAGUUUUUCCAGAGUCUUUGUCCAUUGAGCCUUUGAAUGAAACUGCAGAGGGUCCCACUUUAUGGACCGUCACUGCACUGAAAAGUGAGCAGGUGGUUGACGAGGCUGAAACCAAGUUAAAGGAAUCUGGAAGGAAAGAGAUGAACAACAGCGGUGAAUUGCCUUCGCUCAAAAUGAAUCUAACAGUAGUCAGUUCUACUUUCAAUUAUACUAUGACGGAGGAGACGGUUUCAGGGUUACCCGGACCUGUGAUGGAGACUGUUCUUCUCACUCCGGAAGAGUCUCUGAAUAAGAAUUCAGGACAAAAGAAGAAGAACAGGGAACGUGGGAAGGCCAAAGGAAAUAAAGGACGACAUAAGAGGCAAAGACAGCGCCUGACAAGUGAAGAGGACAAUCAACCAGAGGAAGGAGAAGAGGAGUUUUAUAAUGCGGAAGAAUACAGUUAUGAGUAUGAGGAGCAACUUUCACCAGAUGAUAACAACGGACAGCUUGAAGUGCAACCAAAUAAAUUCCCCCAUACGAUGGAGAAAAAGGAGGAACAAUUAACCACAUACAGUCCUGUCCAGUUAGAAACCUCCAGUCAUCCUAUAUCGUCCCCCUCAGAAAGUGAAACAUAUGCACAGGAUGAAGUGUCACUGCCUACACCUCCCCACACAACAGAACCAGAAGAGGACAUCUCUUAAUUCCCAAGAGACCGCGACACACUAUAGAGUGUUAAGCAUUCAUAAGAAAGCACACACUACAUGGAGAGUGUGAAUAAACUGUGAACUUUUGCUGGUGAGGAACCAUGAACCUGACCAACGUUUCAUGAGCGAGGGGAAGUUUGCACUCAGCGACGAUGUCACUCACCCAAAGCCAUGGCCAUAACAUGGUCACUGUUGUAACAGGGCUUUUGUUAGCCGAGUUUUAUUCAAUAUCAAGCACCAGUGAUCCAAAAAAUCCUGCCCACAUGUUGACAGUAUUGUGAAUUUGCCUUUAGCCUUUUUACCUUGUCUACAAUCCUAAUUUAUUUAUUGAGACAAACAUUUCUCUGUAACAAACAUGUGCCAAAUCAUCAAUAUCUAUACUUCUAUUCAGAUUGUAAAAUGUUAUUUAUUGAAACAUGGAAAAACGUUCUGUUUUGACUACUUCAAUACCAAUCAUGUUAUUCAGAAUGUAGUAUAGUACAAUACAUAAUACCGUAGUCAUUAAACUACUUAAUUAAUUAAACGCUCUUUUCACUGGUGAAAUUUUUCUGUUAUGACAUUGUUGUGUCUGUGUUUAACCUCUUUGUGCAUGUAUCUUUCAGUAAAAAAUGGU
ensembl:lncRNA